rnacentral:rRNA from 1 species
GCUAUACAUGCAGUCGAGCGAACGGACGAGAAGCUUGCUUCUCUGAUGUUAGCGGCGGACGGGUGAGUAACACGUGGAUAACCUACCUAUAAGACUGGGAUAACUUCGGGAAACCGGAGCUAAUACCGGAUAAUAUUUUGAACCGCAUGGUUCAAAAGUGAAAGACGGUCUUGCUGUCACUUAUAGAUGGAUCCGCGCUGCAUUAGCUAGUUGGUAAGGUAACGGCUUACCAAGGCAACGAUGCAUAGCCGACCUGAGAGGGUGAUCGGCCACACUGGAACUGAGACACGGUCCAGACUCCUACGGGAGGCAGCAGUAGGGAAUCUUCCGCAAUGGGCGAAAGCCUGACGGAGCAACGCCGCGUGAGUGAUGAAGGUCUUCGGAUCGUAAAACUCUGUUAUUAGGGAAGAACAUAUGUGUAAGUAACUGUGCACAUCUUGACGGUACCUAAUCAGAAAGCCACGGCUAACUACGUGCCAGCAGCCGCGGUAAUACGUAGGUGGCAAGCGUUAUCCGGAAUUAUUGGGCGUAAAGCGCGCGUAGGCGGUUUUUUAAGUCUGAUGUGAAAGCCCACGGCUCAACCGUGGAGGGUCAUUGGAAACUGGAAAACUUGAGUGCAGAAGAGGAAAGUGGAAUUCCAUGUGUAGCGGUGAAAUGCGCAGAGAUAUGGAGGAACACCAGUGGCGAAGGCGACUUUCUGGUCUGUAACUGACGCUGAUGUGCGAAAGCGUGGGGAUCAAACAGGAUUAGAUACCCUGGUAGUCCACGCCGUAAACGAUGAGUGCUAAGUGUUAGGGGGUUUCCGCCCCUUAGUGCUGCAGCUAACGCAUUAAGCACUCCGCCUGGGGAGUACGACCGCAAGGUUGAAACUCAAAGGAAUUGACGGGGACCCGCACAAGCGGUGGAGCAUGUGGUUUAAUUCGAAGCAACGCGAAGAACCUUACCAAAUCUUGACAUCCUUUGAC